GCCAGUGUGGCACAGUGGUUUGAAUGUUGGACUAGGACUCUGAAGACCAGGGUUCGAUUCCUAGCUCAGCCA
rnacentral:tRNA from 1 species